CCUACGGGAGGCUGCAGUGGGGAAUAUUGCUCAAUGGGGGAAACCCUGAAGCAGCAACGCCGCGUGCAGGAUGAAGGCUUUCGGGUUGUAAAACUCUUUUUAUACGGAAGUAAAUCACGGUACCUGAAGAAUAAGCCCCGGCUAACUCCGUGCCAGCGGCCGCGGUAAUACGUAGGGUGCAGGCGUUAUCCGGAAUUACUGGGCGUAAAGAGCGCGUAGACGGUGUAGCAAGUCAGAUGUGAAAGCCCGGGGCGAAACCCCGGGACUGCAUUUGAAACUGUUGUACUGGAGUACAGGAGAGGUAAGCGGAAUUCCUGGUGUAGCGGUGAAAUGCGUAGAGAUUAGGAGGAACACUAGUGGCGAAGGCGGCUUACUGGACUGUAACUGACGUUGAGGCUCGAAAGCGUGGGGAGCAAACAGGAUUAGAUACCCCUGUAGUC
rnacentral:rRNA from 1 species